UGUGCUACUAAUUUCUUGAAAGGGGCCCUCAGCCAGUUUUUAUCGAAGUGGAGAAAGACAUUUCAAGUGAGAAUAGGCUAUUUCAAAAAUACUUCGCCGCAAAAAGUACUUCAAUGCGUUCAGCAGAAGCGGAGUUAUUGGCAAUCAAACACGGCUUCCAAUGUGCUUCCU
rnacentral:lncRNA from 1 species